UACGGGGGGGGUAAGCGUUGUUCGGAAUUACUGGGCGUAAAGGGCUCGUAGGCGGCCAACUAAGUCGGACGUGAAAUCCCUCAGCUUAACUGGGGAACUGCGUCCGAUACUGGAUGGCUUGGAUUUGGGAGAGGGAUGCGGAAUUCCAGGUGUAGCGGUGAAAUGUGUAGAUAUCUGGAGGAACACCGGUGGCGAAGGCGGCAUCCUGGACCAAUAUUGACGCUGAGGAGCGAAAGCCAGGGGAGCAAACGGG
rnacentral:rRNA from 1 species